rnacentral:rRNA from 1 species
GACGAACGCUGGCGGCGUGCUUAACACAUGCAAGUCGAACGGAAAGGCCCUGCUUUUGUGGGGUGCUCGAGUGGCGAACGGGUGAGUAACACGUGAGUAACCUGCCCUUGACUUUGGGAUAACUUCAGGAAACUGGGGCUAAUACCGGAUAGGAGCUCCUGCUGCAUGGUGGGGGUUGGAAAGUUUCGGCGGUUGGGGAUGGACUCGCGGCUUAUCAGCUUGUUGGUGGGGUAGUGGCUUACCAAGGCUUUGACGGGUAGCCGGCCUGAGAGGGUGACCGGCCACAUUGGGACUGAGAUACGGCCCAGACUCCUACGGGAGGCAGCAGUGGUGAAUAUUGCACAAUGGGCGGAAGCCUGAUGCAGCAACGCCGCGUGCGGGAUGACGGCCUUCGGGUUGUAAACCGCUUUAGCCUGUGCCGAAGCGUGAGUGACGGUAAUGGGUAAAGAAGCACCGGCUAACUACGUG